rnacentral:rRNA from 1 species
UACGUAGGGUGCAAGCGUUGUCCGGAAUCAUUGGGCGUAAAGAGCUCGUAGGCGGUCUGUCGCGUCUGCUGUGAAAACCUGGGGCUUAACCCUGGGCUUGCAGUGGGUACGGGCAGACUAGAGUGCGGUAGGGGAGACUGUAAUUCCUGGUGUAGCGGUGAAAUGCGCAGAUAUCAGGAGGAACACCGGUGGCGAAGGCGGGUCUCUGGGCCGUAACUGACGCUGAGGAGCGAAAGCAUGGGGAGCGAACGGG